UACAGUGAUGACCAACUGUCGCCCCAAGCGGAAAUAUAAUGACAGAUUCGACACUUAGCCAAACACUGAAAAUUCUGAUC
rnacentral:snoRNA from 1 species